UACGUAGGGUGCGAGCGUUAAUCGGAAUUACUGGGCGUAAAGUGUGCGCAGGCGGCCGAGCAAGUCGAGUGUGAAAGCCCCGAGCUUAACUUGGGAAUUGCGCUCGAAACUACUUGGCUGGAGUGUGGCAGAGGAAGGUGGAAUUCCAGGUGUAGCGGUGAAAUGCGUAGAGAUCUGGAGGAACACCGAUGGCGAAGGCAGCCUUCUGGGCCAACACUUACGCUCAUGCACGAAAGCGUGGGGAGCAAACAGG
rnacentral:rRNA from 1 species